rnacentral:rRNA from 1 species
AUGCGUAGAUAUUAGGAGGAACACCAGUGGCGAAGGCGGCUGCCUGGACUGUAACUGACGCUGAGGCGCGAAAGCGUGGGGAGCAAACAGGAUUAGAUACCCUGGUAGUCCACGCCGUAAACGAUGGGUACUAGGUGUAGAGGGUAUCGACCCCUUCUGUGCCGGAGUUAACACAAUAAGUACCCCGCCUGGGGAGUACGACCGCAAGGUUGAAACUCAAAGGAAUUGAUGGGGGCCCGCACAAGCGGUGGAGCAUGUGGUUUAAUUCGACGCAACGCGAAGAACCUUACCAGGUUUUGACAUCCCCUGAUGACUCCAGAGAUGGAGAGUUCAAUCUUUGAUUGACAGGGAGACAGAUGGUGCAUGCUUGUUGUCAGCUCGUGUCGUGAGAUGUUGGGUUAAGUCCCGCAACGAGCGCAACCCUUAUUCUUAGUGGCCAGCAUGUCGGAUGGGCACUCUAGGGAGACUGACGGUGACAAACCGGAGGAAGUUGGGGAUUACGUCAAAUCAUAAUGCCCUUUAUGACCUGGACAAUAUACGUGCUACUAUGGCUUGUACAGAGGGUUGCGAAACCGUGAGGUGUAGCUAAUCCCGAAAAGCAGGUCUCAGUUCGGAUUGCAGCCUGCAACUCGCCUGCAUGAAGUAGGAAUCGAUAGUGAUCGCGGAUAAGCAUGCACCGGUGAAUACGUUCUCGGGCCUUGUACACACCGCCCGUCAC